UACAGAGGGUGCAAGCGUUAAUCGGAAUUACUGGGCGUAAAGGGUGCGUAGGUGGUUUGAUAAGUUAGGUGUGAAAGCCCCGGGCUUAACCUGGGAACUGCGCCUAAUACUGUCUAACUAGAGUACUGUAGAGGAAGGUGGAAUUUCCGGUGUAGCGGUGAAAUGCGUAGAUAUCGGAAGGAACAUCAGUGGCGAAGGCGGCCAACUGGACGAAUACUGACGCUGAGACUCGAAAGCGUGGGGAGCAAACAGG
rnacentral:rRNA from 1 species